rnacentral:rRNA from 1 species
AGUAACACGUGGAUAACCUACCUAUAAGACUGGGAUAACUUCGGGAAACCGGAGCUAAUACCGGAUAAUAUUAUGAACCGCAUGGUUCAAAAGUGAAAGACGGUCUUGCUGUCACUUAUAGAUGGAUCCGCGCUGCAUUAGCUAGUUGGUAAGGUAACGGCUUACCAAGGCAACGAUGCAUCGCCGACCUGAGAGGGUGAUCGGCCACACUGGAACUGAGACACGGUCCAG